rnacentral:lncRNA from 1 species
CCAGGCUAAGCAUGGCUUGUUUCCCAGUCCUUACGGACCUCCCACUUUAUCUUGAGAGCUGAGACCUCUGGAGGCUGACAGUCAGGCCAAUCAAUGAAAGCCCAAGAUGGAGGGGAUGGGAGAGGAGGGGGCUACUGCAAACUCUGCUCCAAGCUGCCUCCAUGCAUCUGUCUGUGAAGGGGAGGAAGGAGCCAAUGAGCCCCGCACCUGCGCACCUGCGAGUCCAUCUCAUAGUGUCUGAGCAUUUACUCGCCACCCUCCUGAGUUCCAGAAAGAGAGCUGGAAAUAAGAAAACAGUGCCAGAGAGGCCAAAAGGAAACAGAGAGCAAACCAAGGACAUCCUUUAACACCCCUGCUCCACGUGCUCAGGGUUGCCUUAUCUUAAAAAACAAAAUAAACCGUGCUAUCUGACCCACUUCCUGGCUCAUUCAUUCUGUUGCCAAAUCGCUGCCUUGGAAGCUGGAACCCCCGCUGCCUGCACUUCCUAUUCCGUUCCUUUAACUCCCAUCUACUCAGCUUAAAUCCUGCUCGUCCUUAUUCCUGAUUAAACCCCAGCACCCUGGCACUGCCCUGGGACUCUCUGGAAGCUGCUUCCUGAACAGCCACCCAAGCUCUCUUCUCCUGUCACUCUGCCUUUCUUUGGAAUCUGACACUACCGGCCACCUGCUCCUCUUGAAAGACUUCUGGGAUUUCUAGGAAACAAGUCUCGCCUUAUUCUCUUUGGCUCCUAUAUCUUUCUCACUUCCUAAUUUUUAGCAUGUGUGGUGGAUGUGUGUGUGCCCAUGCAUGAUGUGUGCAUCUCUUGUGUCACAGGGCACACGUGGGGGUCAGGGCACAGCUUGUCAGGAUUGGUUCCCUCCUUCCACAUAGGUCUGAGGCAAGGUUUCUCUGUUCCAUGAACUUUUUGGCUUCCCGAAUAUUCUCCUGGCUUCACCUCUUAUUUUGCCACAGGAGUGCUGGGGUUACAGAUGCUUGCUGCCACAUCCAGAAUUUUAUUAUUAAAAAUAUAUAUUGGGCUGGCGAGAUGGCUCGGUUCUGAGUUCAAAUCCCAGCAACCACAUGGUGGCUUGCAACCAUCUGUAAUGAGAUCUGAUGCCCUCUUCUGGAAUGUCUGAAGACAGUAUACUUACAUAUAAUAAAUAAAUAAAUCUUUAAAUAUAUAUAUAUAUUUAUUUUUAUGCUGAGAGAGAGAGAGAGAGAGAGAGAGAGAGAGAGUUUGUGUGUGUGUGUGUGUGUAUGUGUGGUCUCUCACAUGUAUGCCUGUGCACACCACUGGCAUGCAGUGCCCAUGGAGGCCAGAAGAGGGCAUUGGCCCCAGGAAAGGGGUUACUGAUGGCACCAUCCCUGCCAGGUGGGUGCUGGGAACUGAACCCGAGUCCUCUGG